rnacentral:rRNA from 1 species
UACGAAGGGGGCUAGCGUUGCUCGGAAUCACUGGGCGUAAAGCGCACGUAGGCGGCUUUCUAAGUCAGGGGUGAAAUCCUGGAGCUCAACUCCAGAACUGCCUUUGAUACUGGAAAGCUUGAGUUCGGGAGAGGUGAGUGGAACUGCGAGUGUAGAGGUGAAAUUCGUAGAUAUUCGCAAGAACACCGGUGGCGAAGGCGGCCAACUGGUCCGACACUGACGCUGAGGCGCGAAAGCGUGGGGAGCAAACAGG